rnacentral:rRNA from 1 species
UACGGAGGGUGCGAGCGUUGUCCGGAAUCAUUGGGCGUAAAGGGCGCGUAGGUGGCCCGGUCAGUUCGUGGUGAAAGCGCGGGGCUCAACCCUGCGUCGGCCAUGAAUACUGCCGCGGCUGGAGCACUGUAGAGGCAGGCGGAAUUCCGGGUGUAGCGGUGGAAUGCGUAGAGAUCCGGAAGAACACCGGUGGCGAAGGCGGCUCUCUGGGCCUUACCUGACGCUGAGGAGCGAAAGCGUGGGUAGCGAACAGG